UCGGGAAUUUUGCGCAAUGGACGAAAGUCUGACGCAGCAACGCCGCGUGAGGGAUGAAGGCCUUCGGGUUGUAAACCUCUUUUGUCAGGGACGAUGAUGACGGUACCUGACGAAUAAGCCACGGCUAACUACGUGCCAGCAGCCGCGGUAAUACGUAGGUGGCAAGCGUUGUCCGGAUUUACUGGGCGUAAAGAGCGCGCAGGCGGUCGUUCAAAUCGCGUGUGAAAGCCCCCGGCUCAACUGGGGAGGGUCACGCGAUACUGAUCGACUCGAAGGCAGGAGAGGGUAGUGGAAUUCCCGGUGUAGUGGUGAAAUGCGUAGAUAUCGGGAGGAACACCAGUGGCGAAGGCGACUACCUGGCCUGUUUCUUGACGCUGAGGCGCGAAAGCUAGGGGAGCAAACGGGAUUAGAUACCCCGGUAGUCCUAGCCGUAAACGAUGGACACUAGGUGUUGGUGGUAUCAACCCCGCCAGUGCCGAAGCUAACGCAUUAAGUGUCCCGCCUGGGGAGUACGGCCGCAAGGCUAA
rnacentral:rRNA from 1 species